UACGUAGGGCGCAAGCGUUAUCCGGAAUUAUUGGGCGUAAAGAGCUCGUAGGCGGUUUGUCGCGUCUGCUGUGAAAACCUAGGGCUUAACCCUGGGCCUGCAGUGGGUACGGGCAGACUAGAGUGCGGUAGGGGAGACUGGAAUUCCUGGUGUAGCGGUGAAAUGCGCAGAUAUCAGGAGGAACACCGGUGGCGAAGGCGGGUCUCUGGGCAGUAACUGACGCUGAGGAGCGAAAGCGUGGGGAGCGAACAGG
rnacentral:rRNA from 1 species